ACUAGAGUUUUGCUCCUGGGACGGGACGUCCGAGAGACCAAGAAAUUCUCGAGUUCUCUUCAGAGACCAACUGGGGAUCAACAAUUCAAUUUAAUUCUGACACCCAAGCUUUUGGUUCCAGAGGGCCAUAGUCUUCAUAUACUUCAGCACUCCAUGAAGGCUUUCUUGGUACUGUUCAAAGGCCAGAGGAUCUACUACCACAGAACCAUUCUAGAUGUGAGUUCCUAGUGUGAAAGGACUGGGAGUUAACAGAAGAGCCACAGUGAGCUUCCUGUGGGAAGGUUUGGAUCCAGCCUGCAAGAGCCAUGAUUGUAGGAGUAUAAUGAUAACUGAUGUUUAUACAGUACUUUACAAUUUUCACAAGGAUUUCCAUCUAUUGGCUUCUCACUACACCAUUAUUACCAUUCCCACUUCACAGGCAAGUAAACUGAGUCACAGGUAAGCAAGGCUAACAGAGUUUGCAUAGAUAAUCUCACAGAGCUAACACCAGAACUCAGGUCUGUAGUGCUUCUUCUACCUUCCACUUAUGUGGAAUAGUUUGAUGUUUAAUAUUUUAAGCAGGUAAGUAUUUGAGUCCUCUCUACCCCUUACCAGCACUGUUACCUGGAAUAGCUCCUGAAUCUUCAGCUUCCUCAUGAAACAGAGGAAAUAAUACUAUUUAUGAGAUUUGAAUGGACUAAAUUAUGUAAAGCACUGAGAACAUUGCUUAGCCCAUAGUAAGUACUCAAUAAAAUCUAGCUGUCAUUAUGAUUGGUCUGUCUUCUGCCAUUUUCUUUGCUUUGCAUUGAAGAGAACUGUCCAUGAUUUUAGAUUACACUCAGAAGCCCUAUGUUUCUAGGUUUAUGUUAUCCUAAAAUGUUAUUACCAUUUGUUGCUUUGGUAAGACUAGGAACUUGGAAACUACGUGAGUUAAAUGGACAGUAUCCCUGGCAUUAAUGCCCAACGUAUUGUAGGACAAUCAUUUUCAGAUGGUUUACUAUGCAUAAUACUUACGUGGAUUAAGUAUCAAGGUAGUUUAAAGUGCAGCUUCCUAAGCAUCGCUCCUCCCAUUCUGAUUCUGGAAUGGCCUGAGGCCCAGGAAUCUACAAACUUCUACAGGUACCCUUGGAGGUCGUAAGGAGCGCUGUGAAAAGCCUUAACUGGCAUUGGCAUUUACCCUACCACUGCUGCUGCUGUUGCUGCUGCUUCACUUUCUUUUUCUCCUCUUCUUCCUCCUGAUCUACCUCCUGCUUCUUUUUCUCCACUUCCUCUUCUUCCUUCUUUAUUAUUGUCAUCACCGUCAUUCUCUUCAUUCUCUUUGUCUUCCCCUCCAUUUCUUCUCAUUCUUUUCUUUUUUCUCCUUCUUCUUUUUGUAACCAUUUCUAAUAGACUACUGGAGGUUAUUUUCCACUGUUAGGGUAGCUCUAUUAUUAUCUCUUCAGAGAAAAUGCCACUGAACUUGGGGGAAAAAAACAGAGUAAUGACUCAAUGAAAAUAUGUUUAUACAUAACUUCCCAGGAGCCAAUUAGGAAGAUAAUCAUUAGGUUCAGGUGAUCCUUUGCUCAUGCAUACAUCUGUAAGGCUCUGGCCCUCUCACCAAGAGUAAAAUAGCCCAUUCUUGUUUCCAGAGCUUAUUAAUGCUGGAUUCAAAUAUAAUGCCCUGAAAGUACAUUUUAAAACCUUUCCUAUGAAGAUGCAUAACUAGACGCAGGAUCAUUAUUCUUACAAUCCAAUAAAAUUUAUGUAUAUCAAUCUUUUGCUUCAAGCCAGCCAGGCACUCCAAGAACAAUGUUAACAGUUUCUACAUCCUGCCCCAACACCCAACCUAUUACAUCUAGAUUCUGGGAACCUAGUCAAGAAAGCCACAUGCCAAUUUUGAAGCUACUUAAACUAAUCAAUUGUGAUCACCAAUUUGGAUACUAUAUCUGUAUAGCUUCAAAGAAAGUAUAUGUUUUGUAAUCACCGAAUUUAAAAAGUAUAAAUAGGCAUUGAAGUAACUUUAUCAGUGGUUAUCGAUUAUUGCUGCACUUAGUAUCUUGAAAACAACACUGAUGCCCUGGCCCUAAGCCCACAGAUUGUGAUUUAAUUGGUGUGGCAUGGGUCACACCAGGUGAUUCUAUUGGGCAUCAUUGAUAUACAUGAAUCAAAUUUAUUUAACAAUUGCCUACGCUCUAUAUCCUUCUGCAAGUCACGGACAGAGAUUAACCCUAGAAGUAAAACGAAGCAGAGAAUUUUAAGAAUACUUUAGUCUCAACUACAUGCAUAUUUUAGGGAAAGUGAAAUAUUAAUCUAGCAUUUCUUCUUAACUAUCUCAAUUCUCUAUUUCAUGUUGCUAGGGUAUACUUGAUCUUGUCAAAAUUUUUCCAGCAUCUAAUAACACAUAGAACCUCAAGGGCAUUCCAAAUGAAUCACAGCAAUAUAAGAAAUGAAGGAAAAAGCAAAUUAAGUUUGGUCAACAAUUUCUUUUGGUUGAAUCAGAGGUGUCACAGAAGCAGCCACAGGGAUUGAGAGUCCACCCCACCUUGCCCCUUAUGGAGCUUGUAAAGACUAACUGGACUGACUCACAUAAAGGGGCAUUCUUUGCACUAGUCUGUGAGUCUAGGUUAUGCCUUCACUUCUCAUCAAAAAUAGGGGCAUUGAGAUCAUGACUUGCUAAUAAGCCUCAUGUAACAGAUUUUUCACUGUAUUGGUGAUGGAAGUAAGACUCAUUUAAUUUAGUGUUUGAGAACUUGCUACCUGCCUUGAUGUUCUGACACUUAAAGUUUUACUGUUUUCUAUGUUUUGAUGUUUAAAGAACUGUAUAAAUUGAAUUAUUCUCUCAUUUUAUCUCAAGCUGUACAAUCUGCUGGUUUCUGUAAUUUUAAAUAUCCUCUUUCCUUCAAAUAUUACCACCAAAUCAUUGUCUAUAACAGAUAAAAAUUAUUCUUUAUCUUAUUUACUUUUUUCUUUAUGCCAAAAUUUCUGAAAAUUUUUUCUCAACUAGAAUUAUUUUCUCCAUCAUAUUGUUAAUUUCUAAAAUAUCAGUUUUAUUUUAUAAAUGUUCCUUUUAAUUUCUUCCUGUUCUUCUCUCAUGGUUAUAAUAUCUUCUCAUGUCUGAGAAUAUUAAUGCUAGGGGGUUUUAUUUGUUUGCUUGUUUUGUUUUAUUUAUUUUUUUAUUUUUUGCUUUUUUUCCUGCAAAAAUAAGGUGACCACUAUGGUGUUUUUUCCCCUAUGGUUCAGUCCCUUUUCUCAUGGUAAAGACAUUCCUCCAAUUUCCAGUUAUCCAUGUUGCUAGAUCACAGUUGAGAGCGAGAAAAGAAAAUCCGUAAUCAUUUAAAUGGGAACUGGCAACUGUGAGUUUUGCUGCAGGAUGGCCUGGCCAGAUAGAAGAGUUGAGAAAACCUCAAUGCCAGAGUCUUUAAGUCUUUCCUCUUGGGUUAGUUGGAUUCCAGAGAGAAGACUCCCUGACCUGCAAUCUUCAGCAAAAAGGGCCAGCCACCAGAGGAAAAGGACAAGAACCCUGAGGACUGCACUCACUGUGCCUCACUUAGUUCCGUGUUUCAGUGUGAAGCCUCCACACUUAACUGUGCCUGGUGUCUCUGGGGAAAACACCUUCAGUCUCUUUGCUGGGUGACAAAGGGAUGGUUUUCUGGCAAUAAAAAGUGAUGAGAGAAGCUGGGGAAGAUUGCUUCUGAGGUACACACACCAUGGUGGUGUGUACCUGUGGUCCCAGCUACUACGCAGGCUGAGGUGGGAGGAUGGCAUUAAGGCCAGGAGUUCAAGGCAGUAGUGAGCUAUGAAAGAAAGAAAAAGAAAGGCUUUAUGUAGCAACUUUAUCUUCUUGCUCUGCAGAAAAGAACUGGACUCAUUGCCCAGACACAUAAUGGUUCCCUUUUGAAUGUAUUCUAGACCUCCAUGGGCAGUCAUCUGAAAUGGUUCCUGUUUUUCUAACUUUACCUCUCUUUUCCUCUUCAUACAGUUUCUUCAUAGAUUUUAAAAAAUCUUUUCUCUUCUCCCAGUGUUCCACUCUUCUAUUUUGGGAGCAUGCCACGGCUCACUCUGGAAUUCUUAAGUUCCCAGUCAGGUCUUGUCCUGUAAAUUUCCUCAGUCUUGUGCAUUUUCUGCAGAUCACUGGCAUUCUUUUUUCUGCUGUUUUUGAUGCUGGGUUCUGAACAAAAAGAAGCCCAAUGUCCAUCCCAUGGUACGUGUGAAUCUGGGUAAACCCGGGGGUAAUGGAGGUGAAGUGUUCUACUUAGAACUGCAAAAUAAUCUUUUUCUUUUGAGGCAGGGUCUUACUCUGGCACCCAGGCUGGAGUGCAGUGGCAGAUCUGGGCUCACUGCAGCCUCGACCUCCAGGACUCAAGCAAUCCUCACACUUCAGCCUGCUGAGUAGCUGGGAUCAUAGGCAUGUGCCACCACUCCUGGCUAAUUUUGUUUAUUUUUUGUAGAGACGGAGUCUCCCUAUGUUACCCAGGCUGUUCUCAAACUCCUCAGCUCAAGCUCAGACUUCCAAAUGAUAUAGUGACUCUCUUUAAAGUGCUGCGAUUACAGGCAUCAGCCACCAUGCACAGCUCCAAAAUAAUUUUUAGUGUACAAAAAAAAAAAAAAAAUCACAGAACUCCGUAGAUUACCUUUCUGAGACAACCCCUCAUUUGGUCUACAUAAGAAUCCUAUAUUCUUAUUGUUAAUAUAACUUGACUUUAUUGUGGUACAAGAACUAUUUUUUCAUAACCAUGUAUUACAUUGCAAACCGCUCUACCAUUAACAUGGCUUUAAGGGAUAUCAUGGCCAAUUGUGUCUCUGUAAUUUUGGGGCUUUUUUCUGUGUUUGCAGAAAGGAGGGACUGGACAGCCCCAUCACUCAUAUGUUUGUGGCAGGAUGAAAUUUUGAGAUAUUAACCAGGGUUCCCCAAGCUCCUUUCCUACUCAGUCAGCAGCAGGAAUUGCUUCAGAGAGGAUGCAGGGUUUUAAACCAAGAACACAAAAGGAAAAUAAGCAGUCGGUGCUCAGCUUUUGCAUCUCUAAAAAUAAAAUUUAAAUCUCACUGUGGAGAUGGAAAUCUAUAAAGUCAAGGUCAUUGAUAUUCAAGAUCCAGUUUCUUUUGAGCAGCAAGAAGCCCAGCCCAAAGGAAGUCAGGCAUAAGGUUUGUGCCAUAAGCAAUGGAAUGGAAAGAGAAUAGAUGAAGAGUCAGGCUGCCGUAUCCUAGAGACUGGAUAAAUGUUGCCUGGGCUAGAAAAAAAGAGUUACCUUGAAGAAAAAGCAUCUGUGGAAUAUGAGCAUGCCACCUCAGUUUCUGUCCUCAUCAGACCAACAUCUAGAGAAGAAAGAGGGUUACUGAGCUUCCUGUCGUUUGGGGGAUUUGGGAGGAAAGGUAGGAUCCUAAGUACUCAACAAACAGAAAAUCACAAGCACUGGCCAAUUAGAAGAGAUGCCCAAUUAAUCCAAAUGAUCAUUCUGGUGCAUGUUGGUUAAAUUACGGACCUGGAGAGGGCAUGAAUGCCUGGCUCCCAUCGGAGAAUUCAGUGUGGCAGCACUCUUGGAUAGGUGCUGCACAGCAUGGUGGCAAAGGAGGAAUUAAGCAAAAUGAGCCCAGGCGUAAGAAGCCAUGAGACACAGCUUUGAGUUUCUCUCAGACUUGCAAGUGAUACAGUGACAGCUGAAAGCAUGCAGGCCCUAGGGGCCUUGGAUGUGGCUGAGAGAGCACCAGUGGACUUGAGGAAGCUUAAACCCAUGUUAGGACCUCAGGCAGUGGCAGAAGUCAUGGGCAUAAGGACCAAUUUCCAGAGACUAGGAAGUUAAAUAGCAGCUGAUGCCAGCAGAAGGCACAGAAUAGCCACCGACUACAUAUACCCAGCACACACAAGUGUGCACACACACUCAUCCACAUACACACCCAUCCACACACUCACACACAUCCACACACGUGCCUGCAUGAGCCCUCUGUGGAAUUUAAAUGUUACUCACGGGCAGAAAAUAGACAAGGGCAGAACCUUAAAAUUGCCUGAGUUUAAAAUGAAAAUGACUGAGGAAUAAUUUGACUGGGUUUACUUGGGAACACUUGGUCAAAGCUUCUGAUUUUAGAAGGAAAUAUGAGUUACAAUAAAAAUUACAUUUAUUUAUAGGAAAGUAAAGUAUAUGUUACCCCUUGGAUGCCUACUCAAGCAUGUGGGAGUUGUGUGUGUGUAAAAUAUAUCACAUAUAUUUUUAAUAUAUGUGAUAUCAGCUGAGGUGCCCUGUCAGUGACAUUCUAAUUAAAUUGGCUCUAAUGCUGUCCACUGUGUGUUGAAACCCCAUGUCCGCUCUGAUCUUUAUGGAAAACAUAAAACAAGAAGUAAAAACCUGCCCUGCUAGAACAGCUCUGUCCUACAUCAGUGAUUUUCAAACAUUUUGAGUGCUGGAGACAUCAUUCUGGAUGGAACUCUCAUAUGUUAAAAAAAAAAAAAAGAUAAAACCAGGGCCAUUCUGGCUGUGCAGAGAUGAGGGACAAGAAUCAGCUCAGGGCAUCUGUCUGGAAUAUUUUUAUGCAACUGAAAUGCCCUUACAAAGAAAGGCAUUUUGAAAGCUACUGCUCAUUGCUAUCCUAGGUGAAUUCCAGAAAGCGUAUUAACAUGUCUGGGGGCUAUAAAUCUUAAAGCCUUAGGUUUGACUCCAAAUGGAACAGGAAAUCUAUGCAUAAAAUAUUUCUAAUUAUGUCCCUUGAGGUUUUGAGGCUAAGUGUUUGUGAUGCUAGAUUUAAAGGAUAAGUGAAAGCAAGUGACCAAAUGUUUUGCUCUGGCAUUUGAAGACCAUCCUGUCAGCUAUCCAAAAAGCAACUUGCUAUAUUUCAUUCAUUCAUUCAUUCAUUCAUUCACUCAACAAAUGUAUAUCGCGCUUUUAUCAAGUACUAGGCACUGUGCUAGCUGCAAUGGAAACAGUUUCCGUGCCCCCUAUUGACUGUUAUAGCUUUACAUGAAUUCUUUGAACUAUAAUGUUUCUGCUGCUUUCUGCCUUUUCAGAACAGAACAAAUUGAAUGUUUGAAUGUAUUUCUGUUAGUGUGCAAACUCUUGAAGCUCUUGGUGGGUUUAGUCACUUUCAGGAAGAUCAAUACAGACACUCUAAAUAUCUAGAGUAUGCCCAGGUUUACCAUAUUCACAUAAGGGAGGAGUCUGGGCUAGUAUACUGGACCAUAAACAUCAUAUCACUGAUCAAAAAAUGUAGUCAAGCAGAGCUCUUCAAAGGCAUUUCUAUUUGCUGCCUAACUGGAUCAUAUGCCAUUUAAAAAAUGCAACCAUUCCCCAGACCUAAACUCCCUGGAUAAAUUGUGAAGAAAAAUAGUAUCUUUAAAAAUACUUAGUGCUUUAUUUAUUUAGUUUAUACACCUAGUUAGAUCAAUUACUUCUGCUAGGCUUAUUAUGAAAAACAACAAUUCUCUGCCCUCCCCAGCCUGCCCCAUAUCCAGCUUCUCCAAGACAAUCAUCCCACUUUCAUAGCUUUCAGCAUUUUGCCUCCAUAUCUCUAAAUAAUAUCAUUUUCCUUUUUCUUGAUUGUUUUAGUUUUAGGCAUUAUGUAGUCUAAAAGCCCCUCUCUGCUUAACCACCAAUGCAGUCUUGCCAUCCACAGUAACUUCUGCCCCUUCAUAGUUGUAUCACAAUUCUGUAUAGACACAUACUCAGUGUUCACAUCAGGGGUUCCCAACCCUAAGGCCAUGGAACAGUAAAGGUCCGUGACCUGUUAGGAACCAGGUGAGCUGCCAGUAAGGUGAGGUGCCAGUAAGCAACCAUGCCCACCUGAGCUCCGCCUCCUACUGCACAUGCGAGGAAUCUGGGUUUCAUGCUCUUAUGAGAAUCUAAUGUCUGAUGAUCUGAGAUGGAAAAAUUUCAUUCUGAAACCAUCCCCCAACCCUGCACACCAUCCAUGGAAAAAUUGUCUUCCAUGAAAUCAGUCCCUGGUGCCAAAAAUAUUGGGAACCGCUGGUUUACAUGAUUAGGCUAUGUAAAGCCUAUUCACUCCUGAGGUAUAUAAUUGACUAUGAUUGCUUUUUUCUUCUUAAAUACUUUGCCAUGUGUAUUUUUGCUUAGUUUUCUAUGUAUUUCUCACCAAUUCAACCCUAAAUUCUCAGCCAUUUGUCCAAUCUUCUCUCACUAUGUUCAAAUGCGUUAUGUAAUCCAUCAAUGCCAUCUUCCUGGGAACAUUUUCCACAGCCUGCUGGCCUCCUGGACUGUUUGGACAGGACUCUCUUUAUGUCUGUUGCACCUUGGUGUGAGAACCCUUCACCAUCAUCAAGGAUUCUCUUACCACUCUCUUAAGAUGGAUUCAAUAUUCUGGACCCUAUAUCUCCUGCCAUCUUGGUAUUUUCCCUUGUUUUUAUGGAGCACUUUUUAAAGUAGAUUCCUGAGAAACAGUGUAUGUCUGAAAAUGCCUGAAAUGUACCCCCAUAUUUGAUUUCUCAAAGAACUAAAAAUAGAAUUACCCUUUGAUCCAGCAAUCCACUACUGGGUGUCUCCCCAAAGGAAAAGAAAUCAUUUUUAUCAAAUGCACUUGUAUGUUCAUCACAGAGCUAUUUACAACAGCAAAGUCAUGGAUUCCACCUAAGUGCCCAUCAAGAGAUGACGACUGGAUUUUAAAAAUGUGAUAUCUAUCUAUCUAUAUAUCUGUAUCUGGAGAUAGAUAUAUACAUCAUGGAACACUACUCAGCCAAAAAAUAAAAUAAAAUUAUGUCUUUUGCAGCAACAUGGAUAGAACUGGACAUCAUUGUUCUUAGUGAAAUGACUCAGAAGCAGAAAGUUCAAAACCUCAUGUUCUCACAAGUGGGAGCUAAACAAUGGGUACACACAGACAUACAGAAUGAAAUAACAGACACUGGAGACUCCAAAAGGUGGGAGGGUGAAAAGGAGGUGAGGGUUGAAAUACUACCUAUUGGGUACAAUGUACAUUAUUCGAGUGAUGGAUAUUCUAAAAGCCCAGACUUCACUACCAGGCAAUAUAUCUAUGUAACACAACUGCACGUGUCCCCCUAAACCCAUAUAAAUAAGUAAAUAAUCCUCAUAUUUAAUUAAGGGAUAGGCUAGAUAUACAAUUCCACAUCAGAAAUAUAAUUUUCCCUGAAUAAUUGCAAACAUUGCUCCAAUGCCUUAAUGCUGACAAAUUUUUUGUUGAGAAGUUCAUGACUAUCUUCUGUAUUUUCUUUCUGAAGGCUUUUGAAAAAUUAAAAAAUGCACCCCUAACAUUCUGAAAUUUCACAAUGAUGAGCCUCAGCACAGGUCUAUUUUCAUCCUCUGUGCCAGACAUUUAGGGUAUCUUUCAAUCUGGAAGCUCAUUUUUAUUUCUGAGUCCCAGGUAGCUAAUCUUAGCAGUCACUCAAUAAAUGAUGAUUGAAUCAGACUAAACUGAAUAAGAGUUCAUAUAAAGAAAAUUCCCUCCUCCUGGGAUGUCCUGCUUCUACAGAAUCUUCAUAAAGUGACAUUCUGCCCAUCCACCAAGAUCUGACCUAUGCCCUCCUAGAUUCCUCCAAUCUUUCCUUGCAGCACUUAAUUGCACCUACCAUUUGCUCCUGUGAUAUCUGUUUAAUUGCUUAUACGAAUUCUACGUAAUCUUAGACUGUACACUCCUGGAGGGCAGACACCUAGUCUUACACAUCUUUGUGUACUAUCUACCACCUCCAUACUACUUCCAAGAAUCUAACCCAGGGCUUAGCACUAUGCAGUUCUUAAUAAAUGUCUGUUGAAUGAAUAAAUAAAUAAGUAAAGUAAUACAUAAAAGAAAUUAGAAAACUAGUGCCUUUCAGAAAAAAUCCUGUCACACAAACCUGACAAAAACAAGCAAUGAGGAAAGGAUUCCCUAUUUAAUAAAUGGUGUUGGGAAAAUUGGCUAGCCAUAUGUGGAAAACUGAAACUGGACCCCUUCCUUACAACUUAUACAAAAAUUAACUCAAGAUGGAUUAAAGACUUAAACAUAAGACCUAAAACCAUAAAAACCCUAGAAGAAAUCCUAGGCAAUACCAUUCAGGACAUAGGCAUGGGCAAAGACUUCAUGACUAAAACAUCAAAAGCAAUGGCAACAAAAGCCAAAAUUGACAAAUGGGAUCUAAUUCAACUAAAGAGCUUCUGCACAGCAAAAGAAACUAUCAUCAGAGUGAACAGGCAACCUACAGAAUGGGAGAAAAUUUUUUCAGUCUAUCCAUUUGACAAAGGGCUAAUAUCCAGAAUCUAUAAAGAACUUAAACAGAUUUACAAGAAAAAAACAACAACCCCAUCAAAAAGUGGGCAAAGGAUGUAAACAGACACUUCUCAAAAGAAGACAUUUAUGCGGCCAACAAACAUGAAAAAAGACUCAUCAUCACUGGUCAUUAGAGAAAUGCAAAUCAAAACCGCAAUGAGAUACUAUCUCACGCCAGUUAGAAUGGCGAUCAUUAAAAAGUCAGGAAACAACAGAUGCUGGAGAGGAUGUGGAGAAAUAGGAACACUUUCACACUGUUGGUGGGAAUGUAAAUUAGUUCAACCAUUGUGGAAGACAGUGUGGUGAUUCCUCAAGGAUCUAGAACCAGAAAUACCAUUUGACCCAGCAAUCCCAUUACUGAGUAUAUACCCAAAAGAUUAUAAAUCAUUCUACUAUAAAGACAUAUGUACAUGGAUGUUUACUGAAGCACUGUUCACAAUAGCAGAGACUUGGAACCAACCCAAAUGCCCAUCAAUGAUAGACUGGAUAAAGAAAAUGUGGCACAUAUACACCAUGGAAUACUAUGCAGCCAUAAAAGAGGAUGAGUCCAUGUCCUUUUUCACGGACAUGGAUGAAGCUGGAAACCAUCAUUCUCAGCAAACUAACCCAGGAAUAGAAAACCAAACACCGCAUGUUCUCACUCAUAAGUGGGAGCUGAACAAUGAGAAUACAUGGACACAAGGAGGGGAACAUCACACGCUGGGGCCUGUUGCGGGGUAGGAGGCCAGUGGAGAGAUAGCAUUAGGAUAAAUACCUAAUGUAGAUGACGUGUUGAUGGGUGCAGCAAAGCACCAUGGCACAUGUAUACCUAGGUUACAAACCUGCACAUUCUGCACAGGUGUCCAGAACUUAAAGUAUA
rnacentral:lncRNA from 1 species